UCCGAUAUGGUGUAGUGGCUAGCAUUUGUCGCUUUCAAUAGCCUUCCACAACGUGGCAUGAGAGCGGACCGACAAGACCCGGGUUCAAUUCCCGGUAUCGGAA